AAUCAUUUAUUCGAUUUGGUAGGGCAAAUAAUUUUCUUAGCUGAUCAUCGAUAUAUUCGAAUACGAAUGCAAUUAAUCAUAUGUAAUACGCUAGGAGCAUAAUAGGACCCGCUUGCGAUUAUUAUGAAUGCGAUGAAAUUUAGAUGGGAGACAUUCGACUCAAAACAUAAACAUGGGGGCCAACUUAUUUAGAUACCAAAGGAUACAUAUGCACAUUUAUAGAUAGAUCACUCUCACAUGGGCACACAAAGAUUAUAUGAGUUCAACUGCCUUAUUUGUGGUCGAGAAUGUCACGAUGUGGUUAAUAUUACUGCCUGUCGUGUCCUUGUUUGUUUCCCGCCAUUAGGUGUAUAUUCAAUAUUUCGUCUCUAACUCUAUCAUGCAUCGUCACUCCUUAAAUACUAGCAUCAUGCAUCGUUUUUAAGCAUCUACUUAAAUUUUGAGGAAUAUGUUUUGCUUAACUAAUGUUUGCGUGCCCAUCUACUAAGUGGAUAAUUACUUCGAUCUGAAAAGUGACGACCUUUUGAAUUAUAUUCUCUGGCUCUGGCAGGUGAAAUGUACCUAUAAAAUCAUGGACUAGACUACUAUAUCCGUUGGCUUUUAUAAUGGCAUGGUCACUUGAUCGUGUUAUUUAUAUAAAACUUUUAAAAUUUGUAAAAUUUAUAAACUAACA
rnacentral:lncRNA from 1 species